rnacentral:lncRNA from 1 species
AAUGCUACAAGGCUUCCAGGACUGUGAAACAAGACAUUUCUUUGGUUCAAGCCACUCCCUUAGUGCACAUUGUUAUGGCAGCCAUGGAAAACCAUCCACAGAGGGUCAGUUCCUAUGGAGGUGGGGUGAGUGACGAGAUGUUCCUGACUGGGCUGACAACGGAGGACGAGAGAGCUUGGGUGUGGAUGGGAAAAUAACUAGAAACUUCCCUUGAUCUCUCAGCAUUCUGUUCCAUCCCUGUCACUUCGAUGUCUCUCUUUCUUGAAUAUGGAAGCAGCCCUGGGCCCAGCUGCUGCAGGUGGCCAGGAAGGAGCCUGGGAGGAUGACGGGGUUCCUGAUCUGAUAGAACUGGGCUGUGACUAGGCAGAACCCUGUUCCACCACACACACCCCAGUGGAGGGACGUUCUGUAUCUGUGAUGAAUGACCCCUGCAUACAUUAUAUCUUUCAGUAAAAACAGUGGUGUUUCAGUAGUGUUACUAGCUAAGCUGCUUAACUCUCACAUUACAGACGUCAGUGAAGCCCCUUGGUAGGUAGUGUCUAAAAUUAGAUUUAUCUGCUUAUUUACACAA